CGAGUGCGUUCAGAGUUUGAUCCUGGCUCAGGAUGAACGCUGGCGGCGUGCUUAACACAUGCAAGUCGAGCGAUGAAGUUUCCUUCGGGAAACGGAUUAGCGGCGGACGGGUGAGUAACACGUGGGUAACCUGCCUCAUAGAGUGGAAUAGCCUUCCGAAAGGAAGAUUAAUACCGCAUAAUGUUGAAAGAUGGCAUCAUCAUUCAACCAAAGGAGCAAUCCGCUAUGAGAUGGACCCGCGGCGCAUUAGCUAGUUGGUGGGGUAACGGCCUACCAAGGCGACGAUGCGUAGCCGACCUGAGAGGGUGAUCGGCCACAUUGGGACUGAGACACGGCCCAG
rnacentral:rRNA from 1 species